UCCGAAGGGGGCUAUCGUUGUUCGGAAUCACUGGGCGUAAAGCGCACGUAGGCGGACCUUUAAGUCAGGGGUGAAAGCCUGGAGCUCAACUCCAGAACUGCCUUUGAUACUGGAGGUCUCGAGUGUGGAAGAGGUUGGUGGAACUGCGAGUGUAGAGGUGAAAUUCGUAGAUAUUCGCAAGAACACCAGUGGCGAAGGCGGCCAACUGGUCCAUUACUGACGCUGAGGUGCGAAAGCGUGGGGAGAAAACAGG
rnacentral:rRNA from 1 species